UACGAAGGGUGCAAGCGUUACUCGGAAUUACUGGGCGUAAAGCGUGCGUAGGUGGUUUGUUAAGUCUGUUGUGAAAGCCCCGGGCUCAACCUGGGAAUGGCAGUGGAUACUGGCAAGCUAGAGUGUGUCAGAGGAUGGUGGAAUUCCCGGUGUAGCGGUGAAAUGCGUAGAGAUCGGGAGGAACAUCAGUGGCGAAGGCGGCCAUCUGGGACAACACUGACGCUGAGGCACGAAAGCGUGGGGAGCAAACAGGG
rnacentral:rRNA from 1 species